UACGUAGGGGGCAAGCGUUGUCCGGAAUCAUUGGGCGUAAAGCGCGCGUAGGCGGCCCGGUAAGUCCGCUGUGAAAGUCAAAGGCUCAACCUUUGAAUGUCAGCGGAUACUGCCGGGCUAGAGUCCGGAAGAGGCGAGUGGAACUCCUGGUGUAGCGGUGAAAUGCGCAGAUAUCAGGAGGAACACCAAUGGCGAAGGCAGCUCGCUGGGACGGUACUGACGCUGAGACGCGAAAGCGUGGGGAGCAAACAGG
rnacentral:rRNA from 1 species